rnacentral:rRNA from 1 species
AGUCGAGCGGUAGCACAGAGAGCUUGCUCUCGGGUGACGAGCGGCGGACGGGUGAGUAAUGUCUGGGAAACUGCCUGAUGGAGGGGGAUAACUACUGGAAACGGUAGCUAAUACCGCAUAAUGUCGCAAGACCAAAGUGGGGGACCUUCGGGCCUCAUGCCAUCAGAUGUGCCCAGAUGGGAUUAGCUAGUAGGUGGGGUAACGGCUCACCUAGGCGACGAUCCCUAGCUGGUCUGAGAGGAUGACCAGCCACACUGGAACUGAGACACGGUCCAGACUCCUACGGGAGGCAGCAGUGGGGAAUAUUGCACAAUGGGCGCAAGCCUGAUGCAGCCAUGCCGCGUGUGUGAAGAAGGCCUUCGGGUUGUAAAGCACUUUCAGCGGGGAGGAAGGCGUUAAGGUUAAUAACCUUGUCGAUUGACGUUACCCGCAGAAGAAGCACCGGCUAACUCCGUGCCAGCAGCCGCGGUAAUACGGAGGGUGCAAGCGUUAAUCGGAAUUACUGGGCGUAAAGCGCACGCAGGCGGUCUGUCAAGUCGGAUGUGAAAUCCCCGGGCUCAACCUGGGAACUGCAUUCGAAACUGGCAGGCUAGAGUCUUGUAGAGGGGGGUAGAAUUCCAGGUGUAGCGGUGAAAUGCGUAGAGAUCUGGAGGAAUACCGGUGGCGAAGGCGGCCCCCUGGACAAAGACUGACGCUCAGGUGCGAAAGCGUGGGGAGCAAACAGGAUUAGAUACCCUGGUAGUCCACGCCGUAAACGAUGUCGAUUUGGAGGUUGUGCCCUUGAGGCGUGGCUUCCGGAGCUAACGCGUUAAAUCGACCGCCUGGGGAGUACGGCCGCAAGGUUAAAACUCAAAUGAAUUGACGGGGGCCCGCACAAGCGGUGGAGCAUGUGGUUUAAUUCGAUGCAACGCGAAGAACCUUACCUGGUCUUGACAUCCACAGAACUUUCCAGAGAUGGAUUGGUGCCUUCGGGAACUGUGAGACAGGUGCUGCAUGGCUGUCGUCAGCUCGUGUUGUGAAAUGUUGGGUUAAGUCCCGCAACGAGCGCAACCCUUAUCCUUUGUUGCCAGCGGUUAGGCCGGGAACUCAAAGGAGACUGCCAGUGAUAAACUGGAGGAAGGUGGGGAUGACGUCAAGUCAUCAUGGCCCUUACGACCAGGGCUACACACGUGCUACAAUGGCAUAUACAAAGAGAAGCGACCUCGCGAGAGCAAGCGGACCUCAUAAAGUAUGUCGUAGUCCGGAUUGGAGUCUGCAACUCGACUCCAUGAAGUCGGAAUCGCUAGUAAUCGUAGAUCAGAAUGCUACGGUGAAUACGUUCCCGGGCCUUGUACACACCGCCCGUCACACCAUGGGAGGUGGGUUGCAAAAGAAGUA